rnacentral:tRNA from 1 species
CGGAAUAGCUCAGUUGGUAGAGCAGAGGACUGAAAAUCCUCGUGUCA